rnacentral:pre_miRNA from 1 species
AGUGGAAUUGCUGGGUCAUAUGGUACCACUGUGUUUAACUUUUCGAGGAACCCCUGAACUGUUUUCCAAAGUGGCUGCACCAUUUACAAGCCCACCAGCAAU